UCACUUCCCAUUCACGAAAGAUCGCCUAUAUGGGUCGGUGCCGGGUUCGCCCGGCUAUGGCGAUAAAUUGCGAUGUGCAAUAGAUGCAGCGGACCCGGGGGCGGUACCCGGCAGCUCCACCAUAUCUCCCGGUUUACCGGGCGUUCUGAUGGGGCUGAACUAGGAUCGACGUGCGUUGAAAAGCAUUGUUUUUGCCCGGCAUGAAUAAGCCGUGAAAUGGUUCAAAACUCAUAAGUGCAAACGAUAACGAAGCACUUGCUCUCGCAGCGUAAUUUUGGGCCUCACGGUCUGAAAUUAUCCUAAAAGAACGCGGCCGAACCGGCCGGGCAACAGAAAGGUUACAGC
rnacentral:tmRNA from 1 species